AUCGGCCCGCGUCUGAUUAGCUAGUUGGUGAGGUAACGGCUCACCAAGGCGACGAUCAGUAGCUGGUCUGAGAGGAUGAUCAGCCACAUUGGGACUGAGACACGGCCCAGACUCCUACGGGAGGCAGCAGUGGGGAAUAUUGCACAAUGGGCGAAAACCUGAUGCAGCAACGCCGCGUGCGGGAUGAUGGCCUUCGGGUUGUAAACCGCUUUCAGCUCCGACGAAGCGCAAGUGACGGUAGGAGCAGAAGAAGGACCGGCCAACUACGUGCCAGCAGCCGCGGUGAUACGUAGGGUCCGAGCGUUGUCCGGAAUUAUUGGGCGUAAAGGGCUUGUAGGCGGUUUGUCGCGUCGGAAGUGAAAACUCAGGGCUUAACCCUGAGCCUGCUUCCGAUACGGGCAAACUAGAGGGAUGCAGGGGAGAACGGAAUUCCUGGUGGAGCGGUGGAAUGCGCAGAUAUCAGGAGGAACACCGGUGGCGAAGGCGGGUCUCUGGGCAGUAACUGACGCUGAGGAGCGAAAGCGUGGGGAGCGAACAGGAUUAGAUACCCUGGUAGUCCACGCCGUAAACGGUGGGUACUAGGUGUGGGUUUCCUUCCUUGGGAUCCGUGCUGUAGCUAACGCAUUAAGUACCCCGCCU
rnacentral:rRNA from 1 species